rnacentral:rRNA from 1 species
UGAGGAAUAUUGGUCAAUGGGCGAGAGCCUGAACCAGCCAAGUCGCGUGAGGGAAGACGGUCCUACGGAUUGUAAACCUCUUUGUCGGGGAGCAAUAAAGCGUACGCGUACGCAGAUGCGAGUACCCGAAGAAAAAGCAUCGGCUAACUCCGUGCCAGCAGCCGCGGUAAUACGGAGGAUGCGAGCGUUAUCCGGAUUUAUUGGGUUUAAAGGGUGCGCAGGCGGAAAGUGCAAGUCAGCGGUCAAACGACGGGGCUCAACCCCGUCUCGCCGUUGAAACAUGUCUUUCUAGAGUGAGCGAGAAGUAUGCGGAAUGCGUGGUGUAGCGGUGAAAUGCAUAGAUAUCACGCAGAACUCCGAUUGCGAAGGCAGCAUACCGGCGCUCAACUGACGCUCAUGCACGAAAGCGUGGGUAUCGAACAGGAUUAGAUACC